GUCUGACCUGCCCGGCCUCCUACUGUCAGACUCACCUGCAGCCUCACUUUGAAACAGCAGCCUGGAAGGACCACAAGCUGACUGAUCCUGGUGGAAAUCUGAAGGAGAAAUUCUGAGCAAAACAUCAGAAAUGUCUGGAAAUAUUUUGCACAACUGAUGAGAUGUGUAUCUGCUCAAUGUCUGUGGUGACUGGACAUAAAAAUCAUGAAAUGGCUGAGCUGGAGACUGAAAGAGAAGAAAAAGUGAAACAGCUGCAGGUGACACUGAGUGACAUCAGGAAGAAACUUGAGGAGAGAGAGAAGAAACUGAAGGAGACGAGGAGGGUGAUGGAGCAGAAGAAGAUAUCAGUGGAAAGAGAGGUAGAGGAAAAUGAG